UGGGUUACUCAGUUGGUAGAGCAUGAGACUCUUAAUCUCAGGGUUGUGAUUUCAAGCUCCACCUUAUGAA